GGGGGGGGGGGGGGGGGGGGGUGGGGCGUGGGGGUCGGGCGGCGGCACGGUCGGCGCUUGCUCUUACGGGUGGCGCGUGGCGGACGGGUGCGUAAUCCAUCGGACUCUCCUUUUUCGUGGGAGCUAACGUAGGGCCACUUCCGCUAAUACCGCAUACUACCUACGUGUGAAAGCAGGGGAUCUUCGGACCUUUCGCGAUUUAAUGAGCCGAUGUCGGAUUAGCUAGUUUGCGGGGUAAAGGCCCACCAAGGCGACGAUCCGUAGCUGGCCUGAGAGGAUGAUCAGCCACACUGGAACUGAGACACGGUCCAGACUCCUACGGGAGGCAGCAGUGGGGAAUAUUGGACAAUGGGCGCAAGCCUGAUCCAGCCAUACCGCGUGGGUGAAGAAGGCCUUCGGGUUGUAAAGCCCUUUUGUUGGGAAAGAAAAGCAGCAGGUUAAUACCCCGCUGUUCUGACGGUACCCAAAGAAUAAGCACCGGCUAACUUCGUG
rnacentral:rRNA from 1 species